rnacentral:rRNA from 1 species
GAGGAAUAUUGGUCAAUGGACGCAAGUCUGAACCAGCCAAGUAGCGUGCAGGAUGACGGCCCUCCGGGUUGUAAACUGCUUUUAGUUGGGAAUAAAAAAAGGGACGUGUCCCUUAUUGUAUGUACCUUCAGAAAAAGGACCGGCUAAUUCCGUGCCAGCAGCCGCGGUAAUACGGAAGGUCCAGGCGUUAUCCGGAUUUAUUGGGUUUAAAGGGAGCGUAGGCGGAUUGUUAAGUCAGCGGUUAAAGGGUGUGGCUCAACCAUACAUUGCCGUUGAAACUGGCGAUCUUGAGUGCAGACAGGGAUGCUGGAACUCGUGGUGUAGCGGUGAAAUGCUUAGAUAUCACGAUGAACUCCGAUCGCGAAGGCAGGUGUCCGGGCUGCAACUGACGCUGAGGCUCGAAAGUGUGGGUAUCAAACAGGAUUAGAUACCCUGGUAGUCCACACAGUAAACGAUGUAUACUCGCGGUUUGCGAUAGACAGUAAGCCGCCAAGCGAAAGCAUUAAGUAUACCACCUGGGGAGUACGCCGGCAACGGUG